rnacentral:rRNA from 1 species
ACACUCCUACGGGAGGCAGCAGUGGGGAAUUUUGGACAAUGGGCGAAAGCCUGAUCCAGCCAUGCCGCGUGCAGGAUGAAGGCCUUCGGGUUGUAAACUGCUUUUGUACGGAACGAAACGGCCUUUUCUAAUAAAGAGGGCUAAUGACGGUACCGUAAGAAUAAGCACCGGCUAACUACGUGCCAGCAGCCGCGGUAAUACGUAGGGUGCAAGCGUUAAUCGGAAUUACUGGGCGUAAAGCGUGCGCAGGCGGUUAUGUAAGACAGUUGUGAAAUCCCCGGGCUCAACCUGGGAACUGCAUCUGUGACUGCAUAGCUAGAGUACGGUAGAGGGGGAUGGAAUUCCGCGUGUAGCAGUGAAAUGCGUAGAUAUGCGGAGGAACACCGAUGGCGAAGGCAAUCCCCUGGACCUGUACUGACGCUCAUGCACGAAAGCGUGGGGAGCAAACAGGAUUAGAAACCCUGGUAGUCCCAUGAU